UACGUAGGCAGCGAGCGUUGUUCGGAAUUACUGGGCGUAAAGAGUGUGUAGGCGGUGCUCUAAGUUCGGUGUGAAAUCCCCGGGCUCAACCUGGGAACUGCGCUUGAGACUGGUAUGCUUGAGACCGGGAGAGGAUGGGCGGAAUACCCAGUGUAGAGGUGAAAUUCGUAGAUAUUGGGUAGAACACCGGUGGCGAAGGCGGCCAUCUGGACCGGAUCUGACGCUGAG
rnacentral:rRNA from 1 species